GCUGGGCAUGGUGCCGCAUGCCUAUAAUCCCAGCUGCUCAGGAGGCUGAGGCAGGAGAAUCGCUUGAACCUGGGAGGCGGAGGUUGCAGUGAGCCAAGAUUGCGCCACUGCACUCUCACCUGGGUGACAGAGCAAGACUCUGUCUCAA
ensembl:misc_RNA Metazoa_SRP Metazoan signal recognition particle RNA